UACGGGGGGAGCAAGCGUUGUUCGGAUUUACUGGGCGUAAAGGGCGCGUAGGCGGCCACCGCAAGUCGAUUGUGAAAUCUCCGGGCUUAACUCGGAAAGGUCAACCGAUACUGCGGGGCUAGAGUGCAGAAGGGGCAACUGGAAUUCUCGGUGUAGCGGUGAAAUGCGUAGAUAUCGAGAGGAACACCUGCGGCGAAGGCGGGUUGCUGGGCUGACACUGACGCUGAUGUGCGAAAGCUAGGGGAGCAAACGGG
rnacentral:rRNA from 1 species